UUGCGUCUCGUCGACGAAGUCGC
rnacentral:misc_RNA from 1 species